rnacentral:lncRNA from 1 species
CUGCCUUACAUUCCAGAAACCUGUCCAGAAAAAUCAGCUGGCUAAACCAAGGAAAGAAGUUGUGCAAAGACCUGUUUAACUUAGGCUGAUGAGGAAACAGGAAAAAUCCACAGACACACUUGCCUUCCUUGUAACUUCUGCAAGACUUCAAAUGAAGCAUGUAAUAUUCACUGAGACAUUCCAAGAGCUCCCUGAAGUUCAAGCUUUCACAUCUAAUAACUCCAAAAGUUAUAAAACCAUU